UUUUUGAAAAAUUUGUUUAUUUUGAAAAACAAUGAUACUUUAUCAAUUAAAGCAUGCAAAACAUUUGUUGAGUUGAAACAAAAAGGAGUGCAAAUAAUUGGAUAAAAGCUCAAAUUAAUGUGAUGGGAUGGUAGUCUGCAAAGGGCGAGACUCCAUAGAUCUGUACAAGUUUGAAAUCGGUGAUAUAUAUUGGAGAGGGCUACAUUGAACAUAAUGACCUUUCCUCUACCAUUCUGAAUUUUC
rnacentral:lncRNA from 1 species